AAAAAAAAAAAAAAAAGCAAAGCUGUUUCAGUCUCUGGUCAUAACUUAUGGUAUGGCAUUUGCAGUCUUGCAGACAUGUACCUUAAAGAAAGAGCUUUCUCUCUCUCUCUCCCCCUUUCAAGAUUCAAAUCUGUAGACACCCAAUGCAUCCAUGGUGUGCCCCAGAAGAAAAUUUCUUUUCUUUUUGUAAAAAAGGAUACAUGCAUUCAUAACAUUGUCCA
rnacentral:misc_RNA from 1 species